GACGGAGGGUGCUAGCGUUGUUCGGAAUCACUGGGCGUAAAGGGCGCGUAGGCGGCCAGGCAAGUCGGCUUGUGAAAGCCCGGGGCUCAACCCCGGAGGUGCGGCCGGGACUGCUUGGCUGGAGGCCGGAAGAGGAGGGUGGAAUACCCAGUGUAGAGGUGAAAUUCGUAGAUAUCGGGAGGAACACCGGUGGCGAAGGCGGCGACCUGGGUCGACACUGACGCUGAGGCGCGAAAGCGUGGGGAGCAAACAGG
rnacentral:rRNA from 1 species